AGAGCGAACGCUGGCGGCAGGCUUAACACAUGCAAGUCGAGCGGGCGUAGCAAUACGUCAGCGGCAGACGGGUGAGUAACGCGUGGGAACGUACCUUUUGGUUCGGAACAACCCAGGGAAACUUGGGCUAAUACCGGAUAAGCCCUUACGGGGAAAGAUUUAUCGCCGAAAGAUCGGCCCGCGUCUGAUUAGCUAGUUGGUGAGGUAAUGGCUCACCAAGGCGACGAUCAGUAGCUGGUCUGAGAGGAUGAUCAGCCACAUUGGGACUGAGACACGGCCCAAACUCCUACGGGAGGCAGCAGUGGGAAUAUGGACAAUGGGCGCAAGCCUGAUCCAGCCAUGCCGCGUGAGUGAUGAAGGCCCUAGGGUUGUAAAGCUCUUUUGUGCGGGAAGAUAAUGACGGUACCGCAAGAAUAAGCCCCGGCUAACUUCGUGCCAGCAGCCGC
rnacentral:rRNA from 1 species